UGGACAAUGGGCGAAAGCCUGAUCCAGCCAUGCCGCGUGAGUGAAAAAGUCUUCCGAUUGUAUAGCACUUUAAGUUGGGAGGAAGGGCAAUAAGUUAAUACCUUGCUGUUUUGACGUUACCGACAGAAUAAGCACCGGCUAACUCUGUGCCAGCACCGCGGUAAUACAGAGGGUGCAAGCGUUAAUCGGAAUUACUGGGCGUAAAGCGCGUAGGUGGUUCAGCAAGUUGGAUGUGAUAUCCCCGGGAUCUACCUGGAAACUGCAACAAACUACUGGGCUAGAGUACGGUAAAGGGUGGAGGAAAUUCGUGUGUAGCGGCGAAAUGGGUAUAAAUCGAAUGUACACCACGGCGAAAAGCGAUAACCUGAUUGAUUCGUGCC
rnacentral:rRNA from 1 species